rnacentral:piRNA from 1 species
UAUAUUCUUUGAUGAUACUGAUUGUGCU